rnacentral:rRNA from 1 species
GACGAACGCUGGCGGCAUGCCUAAUACAUGCAAGUCGAGCGAACAGAUGAAGUGCUUGCACUUCUGACGUUAGCGGCGAACGGGUGAGUAACACGUAAGGAAUCUACCUAUAAGCGGGGAUAACAUUCGGAAACGGGUGCUAAUACCGCAUAAUAUUUUCUUCCGCAUGGAAGAAAAUUGAAAGACGGCUCUGCUGUCACUUAUAGAUGACCUUGCGGUGCAUUAGUUAGUUGGUGGGGUAACGGCCUACCAAGACGAUGAUGCAUAGCCGACCUGGGAGGGUGAUCGGCCAAAUUGGGACUGAGACACGGCCCAAACUCCUACGGGAGGCAGCAGUAGGGAAUCUUCCGCAAUGGGCGAAAGCCUGACGGAGCAAUGCCGCGUGAGUGAAGAAGGCCUUCGGGUCGUAAAACUCUGUUAUAAGAGAAGAACAAAUUGUAGAGUAACUGCUACAGUCUUGACGGUAUCUUAUCAGAAAGCCACGGCUAACUACGUGCCAGCCGCCGCGGUAA